rnacentral:rRNA from 1 species
AGAGUUUGAUCAUGGCUCAGAAUGAACGCUGGCGGCGUGCUUAACACAUGCAAGUCGAACGAGAAAGCCGAAAGCUUGCUUUUGGCGAGUAAAGUGGCGCACGGGUGAGUAACGCGUGGGUAAUCUGCCUUUGAAUUCGGGAUAACACUUCGAAAGGUGUGCUAAUACCGGAUAACAUCUGUUUACCUUAGGUUAAACAGAUCAAAGAUAGCCUCUACAUGUAAGCUAUUGUUUAAAGAUGAGCCCGCGUACCAUUAGCUUGUUGGUGGGGUAACGGCCCACCAAGGCAACGAUGGUUAGCUGGUCUGAGAGGAUGAUCAGCCACACUGGAACUGACACACGGUCCAGACUCCUACGGGAGGCAGCAGUGAGGAAUUUUGCGCAAUGGGGGAAACCCUGACGCAGCAACGCCGCGUGAGUGAUGAAGGCUUUCGGGUCGUAAAGCUCUGUCAAGUGGGAAGAAGUUAUCAUAUAUUAAUAGUAUAUGGUAUUGACGGUACCACUGAAGGAAGCACCGGCUAACUCCGUGCCAGCAGCCGCGGUAAUACGGAGGGUGCAAGCGUUAUUCGGAUUUACUGGGCGUAAAGGGCGCGUAGGCGGUCUGAUAAGUCAGUUGUGAAAGCCCGGGGCUCAACCCCGGAAGUGCAAUUGAAACUGUCAGGCUUGAGUAUGGUAGAGGGAAGUGGAAUUCCUGGUGUAGCGGUGAAAUGCGUAGAUAUCAG